GUAGCGUAUAUUAAAGUUGUUGCAGUUAAAAAGCUCGUAGUCGAACUUCGGGCCUGGCGGGACGGUCUGCCUUACGGUAUGUACUGUCUGGCCGGGUCUUACCUCUUGGUGAGGCCGUAUGCCCUUCAUUGGGUGUGCGGUGGAACCAGGAAUUUUACCUUGAGAAAAUUAGAGUGUUCAAAGCAGGCAAUUGCCCGAAUACAUUAGCAUGGAAUAAUAGAAUAGGACGUGCGGUUCUAUUUUGUUGGUUUCUAGAGUCGCCGUAAUGAUUAAUAGGGAUAGUUGGGGGCAUUGGUAUUGAGUCGCUAGAGGUGAAAUUCUUGGAUUGACUCAAGACCAACUAUUG
rnacentral:rRNA from 1 species